rnacentral:rRNA from 1 species
AGUGAACGCUGGCGGUAGGCCUAACACAUGCAAGUCGAACGGCAGCACAGGAGAGCUUGCUCUCUGGGUGGCGAGUGGCGGACGGGUGAGGAAUACAUCGGAAUCUACUCUGUCGUGGGGGAUAACGUAGGGAAACUUACGCUAAUACCGCAUACGGCCUACGGGUGAAAGCAGGGGAUCUUCGGACCUUGCGCGAUUGAAUGAGCCGAUGUCGGAUUAGCUAGUUGGCGGGGUAAAGGCCCACCAAGGCGACGAUCCGUAGCUGGUCUGAGAGGAUGAUCAGGCACACGGGAACUGAGACACGGUCCAGCCUCCUACGGGAGGCAGCAGUGGGGAAUAUUGGACAAUGGGCGAAAGCCUGAUCCAGCCAUACCGCGUGGGUGAAGAAGGCCUUCGGGUUGUAAAGCCCUUUUGUUGGGAAAGAAAUCCAGCUGGCUAGUACCCGGUUGGGAUGACGGUACCCAAAGAAUAAGCACCGGCUAACUUCGUGCCAGCAGCCGCCGUAA